UGUAACACACUGGACCUUUGCAAAUUGCGAGGUUCGAGUGUUUGGAUGUAUUUCGAGCUUUUCCACACUUGGUGGAGGGUUUUAGAAUGUUUUCCGACCUAAAAAGUUCGAAAAUCAGGAAUUCUGGAUAAGUCCUGAGAGUUUUUACUCUCGGGGACCGGUCCCUGGAAGGAGAGACCGGUCCCCCAGUGAACAGUGUUGAGGCAGCCUGAGGCAACCGGUCCCUGGCGGGCGAGACCGGUCCCCGAGCGCGUCUUCGCAGUGAGAGACCGGUCCUGCGCGGGGAGAGACCGGUUCCCGAACGCUGGUUUUUCGGGUUCGCAGCGAGAGACCGGUCCCAGCUGGGGAGAGACCGGUCCCUCUGGGCGAAAACUGCCN
rnacentral:lncRNA from 1 species